rnacentral:rRNA from 1 species
UGGGGAAUUUUGGACAAUGGGCGCAAGCCUGAUCCAGCCAUGCCGCGUGCGGGAAGAAGGCCUUCGGGUUGUAAACCGCUUUUGUCAGGGAAGAAAUCCUUUGAGCUAAUACCUCGGGGGGAUGACGGUACCUGAAGAAUAAGCACCGGCUAACUACGUGCCAGCAGCCGCGGUAAUACGUAGGGUGCAAGCGUUAAUCGGAAUUACUGGGCGUAAAGCGUGCGCAGGCGGUUAUGCAAGACAGAUGUGAAAGGCCAGGGCUCAACGGGGGAACUGCAUUGGGGACGGCAUGGCUGGAGUGCGGUAGAGGGGAAUGGAAUUCCGCGUGUAGCAGUGAAAUGCGUAGAUAUGCGGAGGAACGCCGAUGGCGAAGGCAAGCCCCUGGGCCUGCACUGACGCUCAGGCGCGAAAGCGUGGGGAGCAAACA